GCGUCUGUGGCGGAAUUGGUAGACGCGUGGCGUUCAGGUCGCCAUGGGGAUUCCCUGUGAAAGUUCAAGUCUUUUCAGACGCACCA
rnacentral:tRNA from 1 species